GUGGGGAAUCUUCCGCAAUGGACGAAAGUCUGACGGAGCAACGCCGCGUGUAUGAUGAAGGUCUUCGGAUUGUAAAGUACUGUCUUUGGGGAAGAACGGUCGAUUUGAAAAUAUUGAGUCGACAUGACGGUACCCAAGGAGGAAGCCCCGGCUAACUACGUGCCAGCAGCCGCGGUAAUACGUAGGGGGCAAGCGUUGUCCGGAAUUAUUGGGCGUAAAGGGCGCGUAGGCGGAUUAUUAAGUCUGGUGUGAAAGAUCAGGGCUCAACCCUGAGAGUGCAUCGGAAACUGGUGAUCUUGAGGACAGGAGAGGAAAGUGGAAUUCCACGUGUAGCGGUGAAAUGCGUAGAUAUGUGGAGGAACACCGGUGGCGAAGGCGACUUUCUGGACUGUAACUGACGCUGAGGCGCGAAAGCGUGGGGAGCAAACAGGAUUAGAUACCCGUGUAGUCC
rnacentral:rRNA from 1 species